GUUUCUAAAUACAACUCAACUUGCUAGCUGCUGCUACGGUGUUUGGGCUAAUUGUUAAAAAAAAACCCUUCUGAACGGCUUCUCCGUGUUACCCUCGCUGUUUUAUUGUUCCGUUUUUCUCUUUAUUGUUACAAUUUUUAGCAAAAAAAAAUGAAAAAAAAGAAACAAAAAUUUUCCAUUUCAUUUAUAUCAAAACCCGAGGAGAAGAAAGACCUUUAAUACCAACCCAUUUCCCAUUACUUUGAUUCUCUUUCUUUGUUCUUCCUUUUGGGUUUUUGUUCUUGAUCGUAAAUCGCCGAGUCUUUGAUCGUUUCAAGAAUCGGCUACAUUGAAGGAAGCAGAGAAAGAGAAUAAUAAGAUAACCAUUUGUUUUAAAAAAAAUUUUGAGGACUUUAAUUUAGUUUUUAAAUGAUGUUGAUCAGAACUGGGUUGUUUUGAAGUACUAUGGAACUGAUUGGUAAACGAUUACAAGAUGACGCUUUACAUUGGUCGCGAAGCUUCAAAGUUAUGGAAGAGAAUUUGUGCAGAAACAAGUGCAGAGAGCAAUCUUUUUAUAGACAAUUGGAAAUACAUUAUUGCCGGUUUCGUUUUUCAGUACAUACACGGUGUAGCCGCUCGAGGAGUUCAUUAUCUACACCGGCCUGGACCGACACUACAGGAUCUUGGAUUCUUUCUUCUUCCAGAGCUGGGACAAGAUAAAGCCUACAUUAGUGAGACAGUGUUCAUGUUUGUCUUUCUAUCAUUUUUCUUGUGGACUUUCCAUCCUUUUGUUUUCAAGGUCAAAAAGUUCUAUACGGUUCAAAUUUGGUGCAGGGUGCUAGCAUAUUUAGUUGUUUCUCAGACUCUCCGAAUUUUCACUUUCUAUUCUACUCAGCUUCCUGGUCCAAAUUACCAUUGCCGACCGGGUUCAAAGCUUGCUAGAUUGCCAGAACCGGAUGGUGUGCUAGAAGUCCUUGUAAUUAAUUUUCCUCAAGGUGUAAUAUAUGGCUGUGGUGACUUGAUUUUUUCGUCACACAUGAUCUUCACCCUCGUCUUUGUUCUCACCUAUCAGAAAUACGGCACACGAAGAUGUAUAAAGCAAUUUGGUUGGUCGAUAGCUAUUAUUCAAAGUCUCUUGAUUGUAGCAUCUCGCAAACAUUACACAGUUGACGUAGUUGUCGCUUGGUAUACUGUUAAUUUAGUGGUAUUCUUCGUAGACAAGAAAUUGCCAGAAUUGUCCGGCAGAACUAAUGGAAGUUCGCUUAUUUUGUUACCCUUGAGCACCAAAGAUAAAGAUAAAUGGACCAAAGAAGAGAAUCACAAACUUUUGAACGGGAAUUCUGUAAACCCUGCUGAUCGGAGGCCAAGAUCUCAAAGUAAUGGCAAGAAUCUGGAAGAUGUCAAUAUAAACCAGGUCGAUACUUCAAUGAACAGUACACCAUAAUGGGGGACUGUUUUGAAACCAUAUCGUUCUUGGAUUUAAAGACUCGACUUCUUCCAAAAAUGGAUUUGCAGGUGAGAAGUGCUUGAAUCUUAAAAGAACUGAAAUCCCAAAAGGAGGUACGAACUAUGGCCAAUCUUUGAAAACUCUGGUUCCUGUGACUAAAAUGGCUAUGGUGAUUUCAAUACCCUGGGGCCACCACUUGUCUACAAUUCUUACCCUUUUUCAGUACCUUUGAAUGGGGCAAUGAUGUACAUGGAAAAAAGAAAAAGGCUUAUUUUCGUAGCCAGGCUGCUUAGUCUUUAUUGCUUCUGUAGGGAAACCCUUUUUCUUGUAAUGUUCCAAUUAAUAUACCUUCCACGGGUUUUUUUAA